CCUACGGGUGGCAGCAGUGAGGAAUAUUGGUCAAUGGCCGGAAGGCUGACCCAGCCAUGCCGCGUGAAGGUCAGUGCCCUAUGGGCGUUAAACUUCUUUUGUGCGGGAGCAAUAAUGGUCACGUGUGGCCAGACGAGAGUACCGUACGAAUAAGCAUCGGCUAACUCCGUGCCAGCAGCAGCGGUAAUACGGGGGAUGCAAGCGUUAACCGGAUUUAAUGGGUUUAAAGGGGGCGUAGGCAGGGAGGUAAGUCAGCGGUGAAAUGCCCCCGCCCAACGGGGUGAAGUGCCAUUGAUACUGCCUUGCUGGAAUGCGGAUGCCGUGGGAGGAAUGUGUGGUGUAGCGGUGAAAUGCAUAGAUAUCACACAGAACACCGAUUGCGAAGGCAUCUCACGAAUCCGCGAUUGACGCUGAUGCACGAAAGCGUGGGUAGCAAACAGGAUUAGAUACCUCAGUAGUC
rnacentral:rRNA from 1 species